GACGAACUCUGGCGGCGUGCUUAACACAUGCAAGUCGAACGGUAAGGCUCCAGCUUGCUGGGGUACACGAGUGGCGAACGGGUGAGUAACACGUGGGUGACCUGCCCUGCACUUCGGGAUAAGCCUGGGAAACUGGGUCUAAUACCGGAUAGGACCGCACCGUGAGGGUGUGGUGGAAAGUUUUUUCGGUGUGGGAUGGGCCCGCGGCCUAUCAGCUUGUUGGUGGGGUAAUGGCCUACCAAGGCGGCGACGGGUAGCCGGCCUGAGAGGGUGGACGGCCACAUUGGGACUGAGACACGGCCCAGACUCCUACGGGAGGCAGCAGUGGGGAAUAUUGCACAAUGGGCGGAAGCCUGAUGCAGCGACGCCGCGUGGGGGAUGACGGCCUUCGGGUUGUAAACUCCUUUCACCAUCGACGAAGGGUUUCUGACGGUAGAUGGAGAAGAAGCACCGGCUAACUACGUGCCAGCAGCCGCGGUAAUACGUAGGGUGCGAGCGUUGUCCGGAAUUACUGGGCGUAAAGAGCUCGUAGGUGGUUUGUCGCGUCGUCUGUGAAAUUCCGGGGCUUAACUCCGGGCGUGCAGGCGAUACGGGCAUAACUUGAGUACUGUAGGGGAGACUGGAAUUCCUGGUGUAGCGGUGAAAUGCGCAGAUAUCAGGAGGAACACCGGUGGCGAAGGCGGGUCUCUAGGCAGUAACUGACGCUGAGGAGCGAAAGCAUGGGGAGCGAACAGGAUUAGAUACCCUGGUAGUCCAUGCCGUAAACGGUGGGCGCUAGGUGUGGGUUUCCUUCCACGGGAUCCGUGCCGUAGCUAACGCAUUAAGCGCCCCGCCUGGGGAGUACGGCCGCAAGGCUAAAACUCAAAGGAAUUGACGGGGGCCCGCACAAGCGGCGGAGCAUGUGGAUUAAUUCGAUGCAACGCGAAGAACCUUACCUGGGCUUGACAUAUACAGGAUCGCGCCAGAGAUGGUGUUUCCCUUGUGGCUUGUAUACAGGUGGUGCAUGGUUGUCGUCAGCUCGUGUCGUGAGAUGUUGGGUUAAGUCCCGCAACGAGCGCAACCCUUGUCUUAUGUUGCCAGCACGUUGUGGUGGGGACUCGUAAGAAACUGCCGGGGUUAACUCGGAGGAAGGUGGGGAUGACGUCAAAUCAUCAUGCCCCUUAUGUCCAGGGCUUCACACAUGCUACAAUGGUCGGUACAGUGGGUUGCCAGUCCGUGAGGGCGAGCUAAUCCCGCAAAGCCGGUCUCAGUUCGGAUCGGGGUCUGCAACUCGACCCCGUGAAGUCGGAGUCGCUAGUAAUCGCAGAUCAGCAACGCUGCGGUGAAUACGUUCCCGGGCCU
rnacentral:rRNA from 1 species